UGGCGGCCUUAGCGCGGUGGUCCCACCUGACCCCAUGCCGAACUCAGAAGUGAAACGCCGUAGCGCCGAUGGUAGUGUGGGGUCUCCCCAU
rnacentral:rRNA from 1 species